UUUGCCCUUCACUCAUCAGCAUUAAAAAAAUCUAAAGUUAACAAAGCACCAUACAGGAUCCAGACGCCCUGUGUAUUUCCCAUCCUAUGUGACUUAUUCUUUUUAUAUUACUUUACUCCUUUUUUAUGAACUUCAUUAUUUUUAAACUCUUUUAAUGGCUGCUUUUAUUCAUUUUUCCCUUUUUUUAGCAUCUAAGUAUAUUUUUAAACAUUGUACUUAUUCAGAGAUUUCUUUUCAGUCUGAACCUGACUUUUUGUGUGUCUGCAGCCUUUUCUGACUGUGUGAGCCAAGCCUUAAAUGGCAUGGCUCUGCUUAGUACAUGGCACUGGCAGCUGGCUCUGCCCACUUUGGGUCUACAGGCAGCAGUGAGAACCAUGUCUAACUGUCCCAGCUCUGGGAAGUUGCUGAGCCCACUUUCCAGAGUCCCCAAGAGCUGUAGCUGACCGUUGUGAGUGUUCACAGAGAAGCCCAAAUAGCAACUGUGGCAGCACUGGCAGGCAUGACUUCUCUAUUGGUGUGGUUGUGCCAUGCAUUGGAGUGCCAAAUGUAGUUGGACUUUCUUGGCCCGCCAGACCCCAAAUAAUGACAUGGAGACUUAUUGUUAAUUAUGAAAGUUUGGCCUUUACCUUAAGCUUUUUCCCAACUAGCACUUAUAACUUAAAUUAACCCGCUUCUAUUAAUCUACAUUCUGCUACAUGGCUCAUUAGCUUUCCUCCAUAACUUAUGUCUGCCUCCCUCUGUAUCUUGCUGGCAUCUCUCAAUUCUCUUCCCAGAGUUCUUCUCUCUUCCCUGAAGUCCCACCUGUUCUCUCCUGCCUAGCUAUUGGACAUUCAGGCUCAUUAUUAAACCAAUCAGGCAUCUUAGGCAAGCAAGGUAAAACAGUAAAUUUUACAGUUUGCUCAGAUAUCCCACAACAUACCUCAGCUGCAUGAGUCCAUGGUUGGAGACUUCUCCAGGCUCUUCUUACCCACACUCUGCAUCUGGCCUGGGACCUGUGUGCUUACUAACCUUGGGCUUUUUUCAUGCUUGUACAUUUGUGUGUUCUACUGUGGUCUUACUAGUGUGGUGUCUUCAGGACAUAUGACAUUUCUUACCUGCUAACUGUGGGUUCUAAGCUGUGUAUCCCCAGAGAUAGACUACCAAGCAAUCUGCACCCCCUUUUUAACCUACUCGAUGAAGAUGGGUAGCAAUCUUUUCUGUUCCCAUGUUCUUGUAAGAAACAAGUGCCCACGGUUGGCCCUCCUUCAAGAGCAGAGGGAAUCAGACCCUUCUCCUGGAACCUGUAUCAAAGACUGAAAGACUUGGCUGACACAUUUUCUAUCCCACAGAAGCCUAAGGCAUAGUCUGAGGUCAUCCUAUUUAUAUCCUGUGUCUGUGACAAGUCUUUUGAGGUCUCUCAGGACUAGCAACCCAUUUUUGAGAUGAGGAAGGUUCCUAUAUCAUCAUGCAAACAAGUAUGUUUUCUGAGAUUAAAUGAUUGAGCCAUCUGUUUAGGAUGGAAACUCCCAUGUUUAAAUUACAUAUAUUAGAGUAGAUUUUAAAUUAAUAAACCCAUAGAUAUAAAGCCUCAGAAGGGCUGGGCAGUGGACAAGAAAGUGGCCUUGACUUUGGAUUGGAAUAAUAGUCACAGAAACUCAAGUCUGUGAAAGGUGAUGGAUUCUAGCUUGACUUGUCACCAGUUGCCUCGUGAGGCUGAGGUGGUGAGCAGAGUUCAGGGACAUCCAUGCUGCUGGUUGCUGGUUCUAGAAACUUCAGUGUGAAUGGCACUUAGCAUUCCUUGUCAGACACUGAAUUAUGUGGAUAAUUAUGCUAUCAGAAGGGACUCCGGAAGCUCAGUGAAGUCAGAUACACUUCAAAGCGGAACUCAAAGGCCCCUAGUAAGGAAACUGGCUGCAUGUUAGCAUGUGUGAUGCCAGGUACUUGAGAAAACCCACUCUGGGGACUAGCUUGAAGGAGCUAGGGAAGGACAAGUGUCCCUCAAGCCAGCAGGUCAGAACUCCCUGACUCAUAGCAUUGAGUUUAUCCCAAGCAGCCUUUCACUAAUGCCCUUGUGAGCACAAAGUGCUAGGCAAGUUCCAAAAUGCCAAGUGUGAGCAGCGGAAGUGCCUAAGCACCAGGAGAAGUGAGCCAGCCCUGCAUUUCCUGUGCGGUCCAUACACUAAUCCCAGCACCACCAUCUCAGUACUGACCCAGGUAGGGGAAUUUUUCACUUUUGAGUUUCAGUGUUGUGGACAGAUUCCCUGGAGAGGCCAGGCCCUGAGCAGGCACGUCUUAUCCUGGCUGGCAGCAUGUACUCUAGCAAACAGAACAGAAGUGUAAGAAUCAGUGAGGGCUGUAGCCCACUUGUAGACCACUGGCCUUGCACGUGUGAAACCCAGGGUUUGAUCUCCUGUACCACAAAAACGAAUUUAAAGGGAGAGAAAACGGAAGUAAUAAUACUUGUUUGGAAAACUUAUCUCCAUAAAGGGUAAACAGGAUGUUUCCUUUAUUUCUUUUUAAAACCAGGAUUUCUCAGCAGUUAUAUUAUAUCACCAUGUGUCUUAGGGUUUCUACUGCUGUGAAGAGACACCAUGACCAUAGCAACUCUUAUAAAAUAUUUAAUUAGGGUGGCUUACAUUUUUAGAGGUUUAGUCCAUUUAUCAUGGUGCAACAUGGUGGUGUGCAGUCAGACAUGGUGCUGGAGAAGUAGCCCAGUGCCCUAUAUCUUGCAGGCAACAGGAAGUGAACUGAGACACUGGGUGGUAUCUUGAGCAUAUAUGAGACCUCAAGCUUGCCUCCACAGUGACACACUUCCUCCAACAAAACCACAUCUUCUCCAACAAGGCCACACCUCCUAAUAGUGCCACUCCCUUUGAGGGCCAUUUUCUUUCAAACCACCACAGUAUGCAAUACUCAUUCUCUAACCCCAGUGUGUCUCAGCACCUAUAUUACAUCAUUGCGCGUUCCCUAACCCCAGUAUGUAGCACUUUCCACACUAUUUGAAUGUCAGACCAUUUCUAGUAUUCCCUAGUCUGGGUCAAUGCUGAAACGGUGAUGCAGGAUCAUAUAUAUAUAUAUAAAUGGUGAUGCAGGAUCAGUGUGAUGACCACACAGACUAUGCAGCAACUCACCUCUUGGGGAAUAGGUAUUAAGGUGACUACUUUUGGGACAUGCUGUCCUAGACUAGAGUGGCUCAAAAUGUGGCCCUAGGAAUAGACAACUCAGAGACAAACUUGUUAACCGUUGGUAAUGAGGUGAGGACAGAAAUUAGCAGCAAACUUCUAGAAAAUUUUGUGGCAACUGGACACAGCGUUUCUGUGUUUUUUGAACCUAAUAGUAAGUAAUAAGAUUUGUGUUUGUUUCACUAAUUUCAUUGUCCUGGAAACUGACUUUGAGAGGUCUUUUUGUUUUGUUUUGUUUUUUAUCUGUGUAUAGGAUCCUGAAAAAUUGAAAAGUUUGUCCUUUCCUUCCCAAGUUAAGAGCCUUCAUCAGGGCUGGAGGGAUGCUCAGAAGUUAACAAAACUUGCUGCUCUGGUAGAAGACUCAGGUUCCAUUCCCAGUACCUACACAGUGGCUCCCAACCUCGUAACUCCAGUUCCAUCUGGGACUCUUCUGGCUUCUGCUAGCACCAGGCUCACACAUGGGGCACAUGCCUCCACACCUACUGUGUGUGUUGCUGGAGAUUAAACCCCAGGCUCUGGGCAUGUUAGGUAAUAGUAGCUAAUCAGCUUCAUGUAUAGAAAGAAUGCAGGUCGCAGAUAAGGAUUGCUCCCACUAAAGUCCUUCAAACAGGAUUGGAACUCACAAAGUCCCACAGAGCUCCAUUUCACCACAGAAGCCUCUCCUGUCCCCUGGAAGAAUCUGCCUCACACUAAACAGGAAGCCCCUGGCAGGAGGCCACAGUAGAUUGAGUCUCCCACGUCCAGAUGUGACUUCAUUGUUCCUGAUUUAUGAAGGUAAGACACAAAGCCGCACAGAAGCCUGAGGGCUAGUCAUAUUGUGUUAUUCAUCUUACAAUCUAUGGUGAAAAGAGUUGAAUGAUAUAUCUACCCCUUGGUAAUAGGACAGAGGAUGUCUGCCCUUCACAGACAUGGGCUGACCGGUCUGUCUCUUCCCAUUGUUUUGGGAAGAUCAUUUUUCUCUCAAUAGAAUCAGCGAAUGUGUCACACAGAGCCUUCCAGAUUCAAUAUUCUGAACUUUGUUAACUGUCUGGCAUGAGUUCUCUUUCUAAGUUCUGGGACCUGUGUCUUCCAUUCUCUGAAUCUCUGAAUCUUUGUUACAACAUGGGAGUUCAGCUGUCUCUAAUGCAGAGAAGUCUCAAUCCCCAUGUUUAGGAGGAAAAGGGAUGUUUCUGUCUGACUGUAGCAAGAGGGCAGGAGAGAUGCAUAGUGCAGGUCUGCCUUCCAGAAUUCUUGUCUCCUGUCGCUUUGAACCUUUAGCUGCCCUCUGUCAUUGCUCGGUCUGUCGGACAGUGACUAUAGGGGUACCUGCCAGGGGACUGUAUGAUUCCUGAGUUAUUUCAUAGCUGUUAGUAAAGAUUCCUCAGUGACCAAGUCCCUCCCUAGAGCUGCCCAGCAAGGACCAGCUAUUUGAAUCAGUACAUGCUUCAUUCUAGUGUGGGUUUUUUUCUGUCCAACAUUGAAUUCCUAGGACAAUGCCUGAAUCACGGUCCUUGCUGCAGUAUCCAUGUGGGUCCAGUCAGGAGGCAGAAACCAUAAAACGAUUUGAACAAGGGGAAGACACCUCUAAAGCACUAUUGAGCAGCAAGAGAGGUAACUGUAAGCAUGGAAAGAGGAGCCUAGUGGGCACCCUAGGGCCAGGAAAGUGCACAGGGAAGGGCAAACUUAGAGGGGAUGUGCAUGAGUUAGAUUUACACCCAUGUGAUAGACUACCAGCACAAACAGUACAGGGGGAGAAAGAUUUCUUCCACUUGUGGCUUCAGAAGUGUCAGUCUACCAUGAAGGGGCAGGUGUGCGAAAUCCAGCACAUCACACCAUGGAGGCCAGGAAGCAGAGAAAUUGCAAAUGGGAUCAUGAGCCAGGUAUAUCAUCCCGAGCAUGACCCAGAGGACCUACUUGCUCCAACUAGACCCCACCCCAUAAAGUUUCUACCUUCUGCCAACACAAUGCCACAAGGUGGACAGCAAGUGUUCAACACAUGAGCCUGUGGAACGCAUUCUGUAUUCAAACCACAAUGAAGGGGCUCUCUCAUCCAGGAAAGCUUGGUUGUAGGACACUAGGCAACACACUCUUCAGGGUGGUCUUGGCCAGAACUGAGCCAGGUCACAGGCUACAGCAACAGUCUUUGGGUACAGGGUUAAGCAAGGUGCAUAGAGAGGUCAAGGCGUAGCUGCUGGCCUGAGGCUUGGAGCAUACUGGUGUCUGUGUAGAGAGACCUUCAGCAGGGUAGUCAUUAAGAAGGUCCAAGGGCCUGAAACCGCUUGUGUGCUAGGGCAGAAUGCCACAAGGUGUUCUCUACAUGACCCCAACUAUGCAUAGGCACCAACCACCAGCAGGACAGCAGGAGCAUCAUAGAAGCAGCCCACGUAGUAAAAUAUGCAGUGUCCCUUCCCUCUCCUGACCUCUACUGGCGGAUCUAAGCAUUGCCCUUAUGAUAAAGGGGACUGGUUCACGAGACCUUCCAGCUGCCACAGAUCAGGUCCUUAAAGGGGGAAUUUGGAGCAGUUAGAUGAUAAAUUGAUAACUGAAAUACCAGGCUAAAAACUGUGGAAUUUACCCACAAUAUAGAAAAGCAUGACAUUAUUAAGUAUUAUGUUUUAGAAAACUGUUUAGCAUUUCCUUGGGGUUGAAUGGUGUUGAACACCUGUCUUUUGCCCAUACAUCACAUGCCUUCCAUGGAGCGAUCCUUAGCCCACUUUUGAGUUGGGUUAUUUGGUGUUUUAUCAAAUGUUUGUUGUCGCUGUUUGCAGUUGUGUUGAAGGAGUGCUUGUGUAUUUUGGGUAGUCUAAGUGGUCUGCAAAUAUUUCCUCACAUCCUGUAGGCUGUUUUCACUGCCAGCUGUUUCUGUGUUGUGUGGAACAUUUGGCCUCACAUAGUCCUGCUUCUUUUUGGUCAUGUGUAGGAAAUCAUUGCAAAGACAAAUGUCAACACGUUUCUCCCCUGUAAUUUCAGGAAUUUUUAUACUUUAGCUCUUUAACCCAUUGUUGUUAUUUUGGGGAGAAUGGCAUAAAACUGGGGUUCAAUUUCACAAUUCUUCAUUUGGCUGUCCAGUUUUCUCAAGACCAGAUGUUCAAGAGAGAGACUGUCUUUUUCUUAGUGACUGUUCAUAGCACCCUGUCAGAGACCAGUUGACAAGUCCAGAGCCUCCCGUCCAGUGAGAGAUCCUGUGCUGAAGCAGUAAGGAUGGGAGUGAUAGGCAAAGACACACGUGAUGGCUUGCUCUGGUGUCGGCACCUGUGCAUUUGUGGGUACAUGCACAUACAUGUACAUGUGUCACCCAUCUGCCACACACAGAAAUAAAUAAAGGCAUUGACUGUACUUCAAUACAGCGGUGUUUCUUCAAUAAAGAGGUCUGUUUAGCACUUGGAGAAGUAUCUUUGUGAUCUGUUUUCUCAGUGGGCCUGGCAUGUGAGAAUUCUUUCCUUCUGGCACUGAGGGGAGGAUACUGAAGGAGGAUCUGCAUAUGCAAGGCAAGUACUUCUCCACGGAGUCCCCUCCCAAGCCUUUCUCCAUGAUGUAGUAAGUAAACAAAGCAGAUUCCUCAGAGUCAGCACACUGUAGUACUAAUUUGAUUAAAAAAAAAAAAAGCAAAUUCCUGUUUUUCAAAGGACGGUGUCUGAUGCAUUUUCUUCUUCACACUGCCUGUCACCCCCCACCCACUGCCUUUUCUUUAUGUGAUGAGAAUGAGAGAAUAUAAUGAACUGAGGGUUCCAGUUCUUCUCAUCUGCCUCAGCCACGCUCAGGAGGAGCUGGGGAGAAAGCGUUUAAUUGUCUAGACUCAC